CAUUGGAAAGGGCCCAGCUCAGCACGGGUGGUGUCAACCCUAAGCAGACAGACCUGGGAUUAUAAUGAGAGUAGCAGAACAGACCAGAAGCAGAAGCUGCUCUGCAUUAAGUGACGUCUUGCUGAUGGCUUGGAACUAGUCACAGUGACAGUAACAACACCGCAGAGAUCUGCACUCUACAAGUCAGGGCUUGAUCGACCCUUGUGUUGAUUCUCUCCUUUUAAGAGAGUAAUGGAAAAACCGACAGGGCAGCAGAUCAAAGGCAGAAGCACAUGUUAGUUGACUGUUGCAUUGUGAAGAGCACUCAAAUAUUGAGAAAAUACCCUUUGCAUAUU